rnacentral:rRNA from 1 species
CAGCCGCCACGGUAAGACAGAAGAUGCAAGCGUUGUCCGGAAUUAUUGGGCGUAAAGGGCUCGCAGGCGGUUUCUUAAGUCUGAUGUGAAAGCCCCCGGCUCAACCGGGGAGGGUCAUUGGAAACUGGGAAACUUGAGUGCAGAAGAGGAGAGUGGAAUUCCACGUGUAGCGGUGAAAUGCGUAGAGAUGUGGAGGAACACCAGUGGCGAAGGCGACUCUCUGGUCUGUAACUGACGCUGAGGAGCGAAAGCGUGGGGAGCGAACAGGAUUAGAUACCCGGGUAGUCCCUGUCUCUUAUAC